rnacentral:rRNA from 1 species
AGCAGUCGCCGCGGUAAUACGUAGGGUGCAAGCGUUGUCCGGAAUUAUUGGGCGUAAAGGGCUCGUAGGCGGUUUGUCACGUCGGGAGUGAAAACUCAGGGCUCAACCCUGAGCGUGCUUCCGAUACGGGCAGACUAGAGGUAUGCAGGGGAGAACGGAAUUCCUGGUGUAGCGGUGGAAUGCGCAGAUAUCAGGAGGAACACCGGUGGCGAAGGCGGUUCUCUGGGCAUUACCUGACGCUGAGGAGCGAAAGCAUGGGGAGCGAACAGGAUUAGAUACCCGAGUAGUCCCUGUCUCUUAUAC